UCUGACCUCUGGCACAGAGGCCUGGCAGGGCUUUGCCAAUCGAGGCUGAUCCUUCCCUCAAGGGCAUGAUGAGGAUUCUGAGAGACGGCAGAAGGACCAGCAAGCUGGAUGUGGAAACUGAGGCUCGGAAGUGCAGCUCCAGCCACGCCUGGAGCCAGCCUGAGAAUGGAGUGUGUUCAACUCCAGGGUCUGGGUACUUCACCUCCACAGUGAACUGCAGAGUGGACUCAGCUCAUCUCAUGGGGGCUCAGAUGAGGAAAUGAAACCCAGAGAGGACAAGUGACUUGGCCCACAUCCAGCAGGAAGUCAGUGGCAGAGCUAAGACCAGGUCUCCCGGCUCCCCGUGAAAUGUUUCUGGCCUUAGCAGCACAGUGUAGAGCCAGAGGUUCUGAAAUCACCUUCUAGAAACAGCCAUGCCCUCAGAUGAGAGCAGAAGCCUGAAAUAAGAAGAAGGGGGCCUGCAAGGGACCCUUUUCCUACUCUUGGUGUGAAAGUAGAUUCCCAGAUACAAUGUGGGAUGCCUAGUUAGAUUUCAGCUUUAGUGGCCAGGUACGGUGGCUCACGCCUAUAAUCCCA
rnacentral:lncRNA from 10 species